rnacentral:other from 5 species
CAUCUUCUGAGAUAUGCGUAAGGUGAUUAGUUCUUUAAAUCCGAACAUUUCUGAUUAGGGAAUCCGAUUCGCUAGUGUGGUGUUGAAUGCCUAGCUUUUAUCACCUAGGACUCCUAAAACACUAGAUACGAUGCCCACCUGCUAUUUUAGCGGGUUUAUAUCCUAACACCUACGGUAUUUUGGAUAAACA